rnacentral:rRNA from 1 species
GACGAACGCUGGCGGCGUGCUUAACACAUGCAAGUCGAACGGAAAGGCCUGCUUUCCCUUGUGGAUUGCGGGUACUCGAGUGGCGAACGGGUGAGUAACACGUGAGUGAUCUGCCCCCAACUUGGGUAUAAGCCUGGGAAACUGGGUCUAAUUCCCGAUAGGACUGCAGGGUGGUGCCUGUGGUGGAAAACGAUUUUCUAGUGGUUGGGGAUGAGCUCGCGGCCUAUCAGCUUGUUGGUGGGGUAAUGGCCUACCAAGGCGGCGACGGGUAGCCGGCCUGAGAGGGUGGACGGGCACAGUGGGACUGAGAUACGGCCCAGACUCCUACGGGAGGCAGCAGUGGGGAAUAUUGCACAAUGGGCGGAAGCCUGAUGCAGCGACGCCGCGUGGGGGAUGACGGCCUUCGGGUUGUAAACUCCUUUCGACCGCGAGGAAGCCACCUGGUUGGAAGGGUGGUGACGGUAGUGGUAGAAGAAGCACCGGCUAACUACGUG